rnacentral:rRNA from 1 species
AGCCUGAACGCUGGCGGCGUGGCUAAGACAUGCAAGUCGUACGGAGGUAGCAAUACCUCAGUGGCGAACGGGUGAGUAAUGAAUCGCUAACGUGCCCCGGACUCUGAGAUAGCCGGUCGAAAGGCCGGGUAAUACCAGAUGAUAUACCUUUAUCGCAUGAUAGAGGUCUCAAAGGUCCGCCGGUCUGGGAGCGGGCGAUUUCGUAUCAGCUAGUUGGUGAGGUAACGGCUCACCAAGGCGACGACGGGUAGCCGGCCUGAGAGGGCGACCGGCCACACUGGGACUGAGACACGGCCCAGACUCCUACGGGAGGCAGCAGUGGGGGAAUAUUGCGCAAUGGGCGAAAGCCUGACGCAGCGACGCCGCGUGGGGGAUGAAGGCCUUCGGGUUGUAAACCCUUUCAGCAGGGACGAAGCGAAGUGACGGUACCUGCAGAAGAGCGCCGGCUAACUACGUGCCAGCAGCCGC